GAUGAACGCUGGCGGCGUGCCUAAUACAUGCAAGUCGAGCGAACGGACGAGAAGCUUGCUUCUCUGAUGUUAGCGGCGGACGGGUGAGUAACACGUGGAUAACCUACCUAUAAGACUGGGAUAACUUCGGGAAACCGGAGCUAAUACCGGAUGAUAUUUUGAACCGCAUGGUUCAAAAGUGAAAGACGGUCUUGCUGUCACUUAUAGAUGGAUCCGCGCUGCAUUAGCGAGUUGGUAAGGUAACGGCUUACCAAGGCAACGAUGCAUAGCCGACCUGAGAGGGUGACCGGCCACACUGGAACUGAGACACGGUCCAGACUCCUACGGGAGGCAGCAGUAGGGAAUCUUCCGCAAUGGGCGAAAGCCUGACGGAGCAACGCCGCGUGAGUGAUGAAGGUCUUCGGAUCGUAAAACUCUGUUAUUAGGGAAGAACAUAUGUGUAAGUACCUGUGCACAUCUUGACGGUACCUAAUCAGAAAGCCACGGCUAACUCCGUG
rnacentral:rRNA from 1 species